GGUUGGAUGGCUGGCAGUGAUAACUUUAGGGGUGACGAUUUUGGGGAGGGGCAAGAGGACAACAUUCCUAAUUAUUUGCAGUAUUCGGAGAAACGGUAAAAUCGAGGAGACUUUGAAUUUAGGCUUCCUUUAAGGGGUUGCAAGAAGGAGGCUGGAGAGAGACCGGAAAAAAAAAAAAAAAAACCACCUUCAGGGCGCGCGAGGACCCUUAAAAGCGAGAACUGGGGAUUGGGGAAUGGGUCAGAGCAUUUGAGAUGACGGAUAGUUAUCCGUUGACGUCCUUUAUUGGCGGGCCAGGAAACUACAAAUCCUAGAGUUCCAGACGGCCUAAAACCGCCAUCCGCGCGGGACCACGCAAUGCAUUGUAGGAGGUCGGGGGAGGAGCGUUCUCGACCGCGUGGAGGCAAAAAGCAAAGCGUGGCUUUGGCGGGCCCGCAUUCCAGCCCUGCGGUUUGGGGAGGGGAGCUGAAACUGGGGUCCUAGAAGAGGAAUAAUGACAAAAGCUGAUUAUUCAGGAUUGUCUUACAGGAACGAUCAGACUCAAAUGAAAACAUCAAGGCAUCUGGAUGGAUAUUCUGCUAACAUGUAUAUGUUCAUAAAUACUUGAAAGGAACCAGGACAAGUAUCUGAAUGUAUUUUUGAUCAAAGUCAAAGAUCUUGGUGGCUGUUGACUUAAUAGCUUCAGUUUGAGGGGCAUUGAACAUACAAGAUUGAGCAACUCUUAUCAUAUGCCUAAGGAUAUCGGGGAAUCCUUGCAUCUGCAUCACGAGACAUGUGUGGAUGGUGUUUGAAAAAGAACUAAGAAAACUGAAAACGCUUUUUAAUUCUGGAAAUGCCGAGACAUAAAAUUUUUGUGCAUUUAGAUUAGUUUUGAAUUGUGUUUUUGAUUACUAAAGCUAGUUUUGAUAAACUUGUUUAUGGCUUUGAAAUCAUGGGGAAUUUAUGUGUUAUACUUUACUGUGGCUACCUCAAUAAAAUAUAAUUUCCAAAAUAAACAAGUGAAUCAAACCUUUAAAAAAA